CGUCGCUGUUGCUUGAAACCGAGCAAACAGACCGAGGCAAAGUGCCUUGGACCGAAGUAAUAAAAACGUGCUGGCCAACCAUCGAACGGGCGCCAGCCCAACAAGAAAAUUCGGAUGUACGCGCAUCUCAGGUUGAGAUGUGUUCACCC
rnacentral:sRNA from 14 species